UAGCCGUAAACGAUACUCGCUAGGUGUCGGCCACGGUGCGACCGUUGUCGGUGCCGUAGGGAAGCCGUGAAGUCUGCUACUUGGGGAGUACGUCCGCAAGGAUGAAACUUAAAGGAAUUGGCGGGGGAGCACCGCAACGGGAGGAGCGUGCGGUUUAAUUGGAUUCAACACCGUAAACUCACCAGGGAAGACUGUUACAUGAAGGCCGAGAUGAAGACUCUGCUAGAUUUUCAGAGAGGUGGUGCAUGGCGUCAGUGACU
rnacentral:rRNA from 1 species